UGGUUGAUCCUGCCAGUAGUGUAUGCUUCUCCUAAAGACUAAGCCAUGCAUGCCUUCGAAUACGAGGAAGCAAUUCUCUCUGAAUCUGCGAACGGCUCCGCAAACCAGUUGUAAACUAUAGCAAGCAGGCUCGGGGUCGGCCUUCACGGGCUGGCCUCGGGUGAUAUGGAUAACCCUGGUAAUUCUGAGGCUAAUACAUGAACGUAGAACCCGGUUGACUAGGCUUCACGGCCCGGGAUGCUGGGGGAUGUGCGAUUGGCAGGCUUGGGUAACACCGGGAAAGGGCGCGCGUCCAGACCGCGCUAUAAAGGAUGGGCUCCUCACGGGGCCUGCCCCAGCGGCUCUUGCUGUGUGCUUCUGACCUAUCAACUAGACGGCAGCGUAAGGGACAUGCUAUGGUGACAACGGGUACAGAGGAUUAGGGUUCGAUCCUGGAGAGUGGGCCUGAGAGAUUGCUCAUACUUCUAAGGAAGGCAGCAGGCGCGCAACGUUCCCCUUGGGCAAUGCCCGAGGGCGUUAGGGGACAUAUGAAUGCCUGCCCAUUGGGUGGGCAAUUCAAAUGGGUCUGUUGUAAACAGGCUCUCGAGUAACAAUUAGAGGACAAGUC
rnacentral:rRNA from 1 species